CUCUGAUUUUGUUUGUCACCUGUUUAAUUCUAAAUAAAGUUAAACCUUUGGGAUUCUGAUUAAGAUAUAUUUUUUAAAAUGAUAAGAUACACUAUGACUUUCUAAACUUAUUUUAAUAUUCUAGAUAUGUUCUCUGAUACAUUUAUAGAGUGGUCUACAAAUGUUCCCCACAUUUUGGUGGUUACACGGACAAGUUAGUAAAUAAAUUACAUUAUUAUAAUGACGUGAUCUGUUCUUUAAUU